UACAGAGGGUGCAAGCGUUAAUCGGAAUUACUGGGCGUAAAGCGUGCGUAGACGGUUACAUAAGUCGGGUGUGAAAGCCCCGGGCUCAACCCUGGGAAUUGCAUUCGAGACUGCGUAGCUAGGGUGCGGAAGAGGGAAGCGGAAUUUCCGGGUGUAGCGGUGAAAUGCGUAGAUAUCGGAAGGAACACCAGUGGCGAAAGCGGCUUCCUGGUCCAGCACCGACGUUCAGGCACGAAAGCGUGGGGAGCAAACAGG
rnacentral:rRNA from 1 species